UAACGAAAAGGUAAACAAAGUAAAUCGUUGGUUAAAUGCAUCAUUGAAAUGCCGGCAAAUUAUUACUUUCUGGCAUUAUCGAGGAUUUUGGAAAAAUACUGCGUCGUUAUUAAUAGAUCAAGUUCAUUUAAACAAUGCAGAUGCCAAUCCAGAGAUCUAGAGUUAGAAGAAAGGUAGCACCAACAGAUCUGAGGGAUGUUGAUUUAUUCGCACCACAGCCAAGACGGCAAAACGUGCAAGGGCUGAAAGCACCCAAGUAGCAGCUGAUCAACCCGUUCCACCAAUGACGCAACCAGCAGACUCACUACCCCCAGACUCCCUCAACACAUCCAUCAGCAGACCAGAUAGCGGCCGCAAUGAUAAAUCAGCUGAAAGAGUCGGGUGUACAACAAGCAGUUUACAAACAUACACCAGUGGACAGCAGCUUUUGAUUUUUUUAUGUCUAUACAUCAUUUGAAAUAUCCUAAUGUAAUUCUCAGUUUGAUCAAGUAUUCUUAUAAUAUUAGAGCCAUGUCAAAACAAUUUGGUUUUCACAUGGCUAAGUCAUAUGACGAGGCUUUCCGUAGGUUACGCAAAGUGAUGAGGUUUGAUUGGUCUGUUGUGAAUGAUGAUUUAUGGCAUACUGCCUUCUAUGAGCAUUUAAAUGGCAGUCAAACCACAAAUGGUAAUAAUAAUAAUAGACUUAAUAGGCAGGUUGGAACUUCUCCCCUUUCCAAGACAGGCUUAGCAGCAAAUUAAUCCAUUCCCAAUGGGCUACUGCUGGGCCUACUGCAGAUCAGGAGAAUGUGCCAACAUGGCCACUUGCAGACUCAAACACGAAUGUGUCAGAUGUUCCAAAAAACAUGCAACAAUUACAUGUAGGGAAGGGUCUUCAAAAUUCAACAAGUCUGCCUACACCGGUAAGCUAAACCAUUUUCUUCAGGGAUAUGACAGUCAUCUGAAAUACAGGUUGGUUCAGGGUUUCAAAUUUGGGUUUAAGAUAAAUUCAUCCUUAAUUAAAACUGAUAACAAAUUUCCUAAGAACAAUAAAAGUGCCAGAGAGAAUCCUGACAUAGUAAAUAAGAAAAUUUCAAAGGAGAUUUUAAAGGGUAGCAUAAGAGGGCCUUUUAAGGACCCACCAGUUGAAAAUUUUAUUUGCUCACCUUUAGGUCUAGUUCACAAAAAAUGAGGAAGGUUCAUUCCGUUUAAUUCAUGAUUUAUCUUUUCGAAAGGGGACUCUGUUAAUUCUUUGACACCAAUUUAGUUUACUUCAGUAUCAUAUCAGAUUAUCGAGACUGUCAUUGAUCUGGUACAGGACUAUGGUUUAAAUUGUCUCAUGAGUAAGGCGUACAUUCUAGAGGCUUUUCGUUUGGUACCUGUCCAUACAUCAGAAUAUCAUUUGUAGGGGUUUUGGUGGCAGAAUUUAUUUUAUUACGAUGCAGCAUUACCCAUGGGAGCAUCUGCAUCUUUUCAACUUUAUGAAUGUUUUCCUACCGCCCUACAAUGGAUUUUAAAUACAAAAUUUGAGAUAAGGGGUAUAUCACAUUAACUAGAUGAUUUUUUCUUUGAGGGUAAAGCUGAGACGAAUGAAUGUUCCAUUGCUUUAAAUACAUUUCUAGCUUUAGCUGAAAAUUGGGUGUUCCUAUUAAAGACGAGAAAUCUCAAACCCCAACCACAUGUAUGACAAUUUAUGGGAUCGAAAUUGAUUCACAAUCAAUGAUAGCUCGUUUACCUCAAGAUAAGAUAAAAAAGUUUUAGGUUUACUAAAAAAAUUUAAGGUAAAAAGGAAAGUGACUUUACGAGAAUUACAAUCAUUAUUGGGGUUGCUAAAUUUUGCUUGUAGUGUGAUUGUCCCUGGGCGUAAAUUUUUGCGAUGAUUAUUUGAUUUAAAUAUGGGACAUACAUGUCCUCAUUUUUUUAAUCACUCUUAAUUCAGAAGCCAGGCAGAUCUCAAAGCUUGGUAUGAAUUUAUGUGUAACUUCAAUGGAAAAUCUUGUUUCUUGUUUAAACAGUUGGUCAUCAGAAUCAUUGAAACUUUAUUCUGAUGCUGCUGGGGUGUAAGGUGGUUUUGCAUCUGUUUUUGGCAAUAAAUUGUUCUCCGGCGAAUGGCCUCCUGAGUUGAAAGAUUUGCAUAUCACCGUUCAGGAGCUUUUUCCCAUUGUUCUUGCAAUUGAGAUUUUGGGUAAAAACUUAGCUAAACAUAAAAUUUUAUUUAUGAUGGAUAACCAGGCUGUUGCAGACAUUACAAAUAAAACAUCAUCUAAAGACAAAAAUCUGAUGAAAUUGGUUCGUAGACUGGUCUUGUCGGCACUGAAGUUUAAUAUCCACUUUAGGGCUAAACACAUAGCGGGAAAAACAAAUGUGGUCUGUGAUUUGCUAUCUCGUUUUUCUUUUCAGGAAGCCCACCAAAUUGCUCCCUGGUUAAAUCUAAAUCCAGUUACGGUUCCACUUCAUCUCUUGAAUAUGUAACAGCACAAUUAUUACAAGCUUCAUUAUCACAUUCAACAAGACAAUCUUAUCAAAGGGUGCUGAAUGUAUUCCAGCAAUUUUGUAAAGAACAAUUUCUUUCAGUCCCACCAUUUCCAUCUACAAACAUUAUGAUAGCACAUUUCAUUUCAUUUCUUUUCUUAAAGAAUUAUCAGCCAUCUACAAUAGCAUCUUGCAUCUCCGCCAUCAGUUUUGUUCACAAACUUAAUUUUUGGAGUGAUCCUACAGAUUCAUUUUUCAUUAAGAAAAUUAUUAAAGUGGCCCAAAAUCUUAGAAGUUCAAGUGAUAAUAGAUUGCCAAUCACAAAAGAAAUUUUGUCAAAAUUAGUAGAAGCAAUUCCGGUAGUUAUACAAAGUCCCUAUAAUCAAAUUUUAUUAAAGGCAAUGAUGUCCCUGGCCUUUUACUGUUUCCUUCGUAUAGGUGAGAUGGCUGUAAAAAGUGAAAGCAGGAAAAAUAAUGUCAUUCAAUUAUCUGAUUUAAAUAUGGAAUUUGAAAACAAGGUUUCAAAACGUACGGUCACAAUGAGGAAUUACAAACACAGUGACAUGCAGCCAAAAACUAUUUCAAUUGAAACAAAUACUAGUAAUAUAGCUUGUCCAGUUAUGGCUAUGUCUAGUUAUUUAAAUUUGGCUAAACAUAGUUCUGGUCCCCUAUUUCAAUUUCCAUGUGGCACACCAGUAUCAUAUGCUUUCUUUAGCACAUCACUUAAAGUGGUUCUUAAUUUCGUUGGAUUAAACACCCAGCUAUAUAAGGGUCAUCUGCAGCAGCCAAGGGUGUAUCUUUAGAAGUGAUUCAGCAAAUGGGGGGAUGGAAAUCAAACGCUGUAAAAAAUUAUAUAAGGUUACAUAAUUUUUGAGGUAGAGGUCAACAAGGUUUGCCGUACCAAUAAAUAGAAUUUUAUUAUUUAGAAUUUUGUUUUUGUUUUUACACUAUAGAUCAUUGUUUAGAAAUGAGUAAAGAGGUCAACAAGGCUUGCUCUUUCCUUUGUUUUUUCCUUACAUGUCAACACUUUGCGUGCCUUGCUGAUUUUAUUUAACAAUUAAAUUUUUUUUUUUUUUUUUUUUUUUUUACUUGUUUGUGUGAAGAUUUAUAUUUUUAUGCUAUAGGUAGAGGUCAACAGGGCUUGCUCUACAAUAGUGUAGUUUUAAAAACAGUUUAUGUUUAGUACACAAACUAUACGCUGUACAUGUGUAGAAGUCAAAAAUUAUUGCUCUACAUGUAAUUUUGUUUUAUAGUUUAGUUAAUGUAUUUAUUGUACAUGUAUAAAAUGUGGAGGUCAAUAGUGCUUGGGUUUUUUUUUGUAAGUAUUGUUUUGUUUGUUUUUAUUAGAAAAUAUUUCACCUGUCAUAAUGCUGCAAUGACCUUCAAGGAGUUUUCGGGUGGUGGUCUCCCCAAAUUUAUAUUUUUCAAUAUUGGGGAUUUUCCGGCGGUUUUUAUUCGCCACCUUUGCUUAUUUUUUAUUCAGAUUUAGAUUAUUGCAUAAAAUGCAUAAUUGAUUAUACAAUACAGAAUAUUAUGAUUUUAUGGUAUUUUGAAUAAAUGACCUUUAUCGCAAA